CCCCUUCGACUAGUGGCCAGCAAGCUUUGGCUGCGAGAAGACGUGCGUUUAGUUCGUACCGCGACGAUCGCAUUAUCGCGGCUACGCGAGAGACUCCUUUUCUCUUUCUCUCCCUCUCUCGCUCGUGUGUGCGCGCGCGCGUGUUUUCGUGUUUGUGUGUGCGUGCUUAAUCUGUACGAGAAGUGGCAGUGUUUCUGGCUCGGCCGUAGGACCCGGACAGUGAGGAAAUCAUUCGUGAAAUUCGGAAAACCGCCGAACAAACUCGGCCGCCCCUUGUAGCCGGAAUCGCUGUGGCCAUCGAGGACUCGACCGAGCCUUUCAGUGUUCCCUCGUUCCUUUCUCUGUUUCGCGCUACUGUGUUUCUUAUGGACAAGCACCGCCCCCUUUCCACCUCCGUCCCUCCGAUCGUAACGUUAUGAGGCCAGCUGAGCGUAACUGACGGAGAAGAGGGAGAACAGGCUUGCGUGCGUGUGUCAAACAUAACCUAGCAUCGUUACCGUGGAUGUAGCGAGAGUAAAUCUAACGAAAAAACGUGACACGCGUUCAGUUUUAAUAAUUCCGCAUUGGUGACAUUCACGCAUUCAAUAGCUCUUCUGGUUUGGAAAGCGUAUCGAACGUCAAAGGAUUCGGUGGGAACUACAAAAGUGUUGUUCUUCCUUUCUCGACACUACCGAAUAGAAACGUCCGAACACGCAACGCCCCGUUUACUAUCGACAGUGCUAAAGAAUACUUACACGAGGACACCGCCUCUACUCCGAAGGUUACCCUUCGCAUGUAUCGUUUUUGCCAUAAGUCGCGAUAAAAGGACGCGACCACAGCCGCAGCGUCGAGCGUGGUGUCACGAGUCCCCUUUGCCUCUCGUGCUCCUCAAGCUUCAGCCCUUCCCGCCGUACCUCGAAAGCGCGCGACAUUCGAAACUGAGCUACGUAAUAUCCCAUCAGAACGCAAUUUGCAAUUUUCCAUCGAAAUUCGCCGAUUCCCAUAAUCGUGAUCGACGAUCGAAUUACUCGAUCCAGGGAAUAUUCGCGUGCUUCUCGAAAUAUGGAAUCGAGAGCGAUAUUGAGAUCUAUCGACUUCUAAGUUGAUACGGCGUGUCUAUUAGUCAAUCCUUCUUCGGAUAACAGUGAUCUUGCAAGAAUCUUAUCCAGUUUAAUCGUUGAAAGCCAAAAGAAAGGUCGUUUUGAAUGCUCUCAUCGCAAUUGUGGUGAAACGAAAACGAGAAAAAGAACUUCAAGUUGUGUCAGUGUCACGUGUGUGCCCCGUCACUGGGACGAUAACGAGAUAUCUAAUAGAGAAAGAAGUGUUUGAUCGAACAGGUGAAACAGAGUGAGCAGGAAAAAUCGAAACGGUCGGAAAAGAAUCGACGAGCAGGAGAGGCGUGUCCCGGCUUCCCUGAAGCGGCAGGGGCCUUGGCGGUGGCGGUGGCGGUGAAUCGGGAAAGGGUUGAGGAGGGUGGCCCCUAGGGAGAGAGGAGAGUUUUGAUGGCAGUAGUUGGGCCCAGUCGGCACUCGCGGGUGUCCAUGAGCGUGUCUAUGUCGCUGAUGCAGGGGGGUGGGGCGGGGGCGACAGGUGGCGGUGGGACAACGGGGGCCCACCCGGGGCAAGCGGUCCUCGCGGCAGCGGCCCAAGCACCCCCCACCUACUACCACCCUGCCGCUCCUGCGCCUCCGCCACCGCCGCCGGCCCAGGAUCUCGUUCAGCCCGACAGACCCAUCGGAUAUGGUGCCUUUGGCGUUGUCUGGGCGGUGACGGAUCCAAGGGACGGUAGGAGAGUGGCCUUGAAGAAACUGCCGAACGUCUUUCAGAGCCUCGUGAGUAGCAAACGGGUCUUCAGGGAGUUGAAGAUGCUCUGCUUCUUCAAACACGAAAACGUCCUGUCGGCCCUGGACAUCCUUCAGCCACCACAUCUGGACUUCUUCCAAGAAAUAUACGUGAUCACGGAGCUGCUUCAGAGCGACCUGCACAAGAUCAUCGUCAGCCCUCAGCAUCUCAGCCCCGACCAUAUCAAGGUCUUCCUCUACCAGAUCCUCCGAGGCCUCAAAUACCUUCAUUCAGCCAGAAUCCUGCACAGGGACAUAAAACCAGGGAACUUACUCGUGAACAGCAAUUGCGUACUAAAGAUCUGCGACUUCGGUUUGGCCCGAGUGGAAGAACCCGAUCAGAACAAGCACAUGACGCAGGAAGUGGUGACGCAGUAUUAUCGUGCACCGGAAAUCCUGAUGGGAGCGCGACACUAUACCGCAGCCGUGGAUGUUUGGAGUGUCGGUUGCAUUUUUGGCGAGCUCCUUCGUCGGCGGAUACUUUUUCAGGCACAGAGUCCUGUGCAACAGCUGGAACUGAUCACAGAAUUGCUGGGCACGCCGACCCUCGAGGACAUGAGGUUCGCGUGCGAGGGUGCGAGAUCUCACAUGCUGAGGCGCGCACCAAAGCCACCCUCGUUGACGGCCCUCUACACCCUUAGCAGCCAGGCGACGCACGAGGCUGUCCAUUUGCUCUGCCAGAUGCUAGUCUUCGAUCCCGACAAGAGGAUCACCGUGGUGGAUGCACUGGCGCAUCCUUAUCUGGACGAGGGGAGACUGAGAUAUCAUUCGUGCAUGUGCACGUGCUGUUACACGACCAGCGGAGGCUUGAGACAGUACACGGGGGACUUCGAGCCGGCCACGUCUCAUCCGUUCGACGAUCUCUGGGAACGGAAGCUCACCACCGUGCAGCAGGUGAAAGAGGAAAUGCACAAAUUUAUAGCGGAACAGCUGAACACGUCGCGCGUGCCGCUCUGCAUAAAUCCGCAGUCCGCGGCGUUCAAGAGCUUCGCAAGUUAGAGCAAGCCGAUCGCCGACCCAGCGCCCUACGCCGCGUAUACGUACACGUUACUACCACUACCAGUACCGAAUCAGCUAUCUACCACUGUCAGCUACUAUCGACUACUACCGCUAUCGUCUACCACUACUACUACUACCGCUACUACCACUACUACUACCACUACUACUACCAAUCGUGUUACGUCUCCUCCUGAACGAACCGAAUGAACAGAGAGUCAGCUCUAGGCGGCGUGACCUCGCUCGCUGAGCUCCACGGUGGCUCAUCCCUCGGAAUUGCCACCCUCUCCUCACCAGUGGGAAUAAAAAUCUUCUCCGAAAUCGCGAAAGCUGAUGACGAACGCGCGGCCGAGUAUUCGCUUCGUUGGAACACAGAUGUUGAAGAAUUUCCGACAGCCUGAAGGAGAACGGUGAGAAAGGACGAGGAAAAGAGAUGGACAAAGUGAGACAAGGAUGGAACGAAGAAGAGGAAACAGGCUGGGAAAAGGGCGAAGAAAAGAGAGAAAAGCGAAUUCGGAGAAAGAAGAUUGGAAGAAAGGAGAAGAAGAAGAGCCAAGAGAGACAAUAGACUGCCGAGCGCUGAAGCCUCAAUUUUCGACUAGCUGAUAUGUAUAUACAUAGACACGUGUAUGUAUAUAGAUAUCUAUAAAUAUAUAUUAUACAUACCGCUGUAUACAUACGAGAGGGAGCCUAGGAAGAAAAAACUAUACCGAAAUACAAAGGCGCACGAUACGAAGAGCACAGUCAAAGGAUUGAUACACAGAAGAAGAAGAAGAGGAAGAGGAAGAAGAAGAGAAAAGAAGAAGGUGAAUCAGUUUCGAGGGAUUGGAGUAUGAUGGUCAACUAGAGAAGAAAAGGAGGACAUAUACAUAGUUUGUAAGGGAGGGUCGAAAAGACGGGCCAGUCUUCUUUUAUUUUCUUUUCUUUUUAGAUUUUACACGCUUCUAUCAUUAAUGUACAUGUACACAUGUAAAGCACGGCCGCUGUGGCGCGUUUCCAACGAUCGAUUAACACGGGAGAAAGGUGACCAGGAUCGAUUGCUCCUUCGUCGAACGUAUUCGACCAAUUAUUCCAUGAAUAAUCAUGUGUAAUGUGUGUGUGUAUAUAUAUAUAUAUAUAUACAUAUAUAUGUGUGUAUAUAUAUAUAUAUAUAUAUGUACACAUAUAUAUUUUACACGGUUUCUCCAUCGGUAAAUUUGAGAAGCGAAAAGAAGCGUUUCAGAGUACUUGGCGAGUACUCCAGUUUACCUUGUACCUGCUGAAGCGGAGUCGUGAAUGAGGAGAACCGUGUUCGCAAGAAGAUGAAACACGAUCCAUAGGAUCGAUCGAUGGCCCCUUUCGUUCCUGAAUUUUUCAACGAAACGCUCAGCGCCACCCUAGGAUGCAUUAAAAUUGGUUCGUAAGCGUUUGUAAUUAGCGUGCCCCUUUGAGAUGGCGCACACACGACCGAGCCGCUUCAUCGAAGAAAGGAGAAUUCGAGCGAGAAGCUGCAUGUAAGGCGAAGACGGAAGAGGCAGAGUCGCGAAUCAUGGACAGAGUCAGGAUUUUCGAAGCUUUGCACGACGCAUUGCGACGCGAAUCUUGACUCGAAACGGGAUAUGUCUUGAACAAAAUUGGGAUUGAAUCUUAGAGAAAUCAUUCGAAGUUUCAAAGAAAUAGACAUAGUUCUCUAUUACGCUGGGAGUUCUUUCUUUAUUUGGGACGAAUGUUUCAAGAACUCUAAUAUAAAUCGUUCGUUACGAGUUGAGAACCAUAUAGUUUAAGGACAUCAACGAUUUGACAUGCUCGAAUAAAAGAAGGAAAGCUAUGGAAUAGCGAAGAGAACCAUGAUCUAUUGGUUUGUACUCGAUGAUCUCGAUGAAUCCUGAUGUUCGAUCGAUGCAACGGUCGCGUCCAUGGACUACGAUCUAGAAUUAGAUCUUCGCGCUAAUCUACAAACACCCGAGGACUCCUUUAAGAAGAUACAACGUCUGUUGGCCGAGAUAGUCGCGGCGAAGAGCGAACUUCCGUUUGCUGAAGUGCAGUGGACACGCGAAAGCUGGGCUCUAGCUUCCGUAUCAGUCGCUGCGAAUAUUUAGUUUAUUUAGCAAGUUACGAACAGCAGAGAUCCUUCGAUCCGUGGUGAUCUCUGUCAAAGUGAAAGAUAGGUUUUUUAAAUGAGAAUUCCAACGGUUCUCAUAGUUUCACGGCGUCGUUCUCCAUUAAGAAAUAUUCUACUAUAGUUAGAUCGUUGUUUGUAAAAAUGGGACGACGUCGUCCCCCUCUGGUAAUUAGAGAAGCCACCUUGAUCCGAAGAUAAUUAGGAAUCGCGUGCAUUUCUAGAAGAUACGACGCUGGAUUCGCGUGUGGUGGAUCGCACGCGAUUUUAUUCCAAUAAAUAAAUGCACUGCCGACGAAUCGUGGCGACCACGACGGUAUUCGUGAACUGAAGGAGAGCUUAAGGAGCGAAGAACACAGCGUUUGAAUGGAAGAAGCGACCCCUAAAAAGAAUCGAAGAAGGAGGAUUUGUUCGACGUUGUCCAGAGAGUCGUCUUUGGUGUAUAGAUAAAUAGACGUUCUAGUUUAAUUUACCACGAACUUUAUGUUAGAGCGCUUCCGUGCGAGAUCUCGCUUUGGUUUUUUCAUUCUUUUUAGACGUGAAUGGUCGCUUACGGCCUCCGGAGUGUAGAAUUAGAAUGUCCGUUCUACUUUCCGAAUCUGAUUGCGUUUGAAUUACUUAGUUUCGUUCUUCUUACGUAUAAGCACGUCGUUCACGUGUUACGACCGAUUAUUGUAAUUGUCCUAACAAGAAAGUUUUACGUCUUGGCCAGGACAAAGUAAUCGUUGUUUAGAUCACGUCGAAAGUGUUUGUAGUACCAUUAGUAGUUAACAAUUACCAUUAUACCAUGAAUUCAAACGCACUCUGAGGCCGGACGAGCGCGCGGUAUACAUAAUUACGUUCUGAGUGUGAUUUUACUUUAAGGAAACUUAGGUAGUCAGUAGAUUUUCACGAGAAUUACCGUAAGGACUUUUAGGUAACGAUUUAGCGUUAGUAGCAGAAAAAAAAAAAUAAUUGGAAGCUCGUUUUUUAUUAUUAUGGGCGACAAAGACGAGAAAGCAACGCAUGUGUUCUCUUUUUUACGCAGACAACUAAUUUCUACUAUAAAACCAUUUAUUCGCGUGAUCACGAAUAAAUACAAAAAAACAUGUAACGAUUAUCGUUUAAGUAACCCUUGGCGAAAGGGGAGUUAUUAUAGAGAAGGAAUCGAUCGGUUUUAGGGAGAGAAUUUUAACGAGAACGAGAAACAGCUGCUUCUCCUGAGACACGAAAAAAAAAGACACGCAUUUCUUUUCGAACGAUCGAUCAAGACCGUCGUUUUUACGAUUCGGAGCAAUAGAAGUGUGCACGUUUAAUCGAGGUUUUUGAAGGGAAAAAAUAUUCAAAUCGAAACCAUCUACUCUCUGCAAACAAUAGAUGUACGGGAAAUAAAAUCGAACAUAGUCUAUUUAAUAUAUAAUGAAGUUAAUGUUUAAACGCGCGAUCGCGAUUUGCCCAGGCGUGUACUGAAUGUUCGGAGACGAUAUUGAAAACGUUGCGAUCUUGUACCCUUUCUUCGUGGGAGUUUUCUGGUUUUGUAGAAUUUAAACAAUGCCGGUCUGAUCGUUUCGGCUAGCUGAAGCGCUUCUUCUCGUCAUAUGUAAAUACGUCAUCGCGUUCACCGUGUACAUAUAUAUUACUAGUUCAUAAAUUGAAUCACCACAAUCAGAGACCAGCAAACGUGGCCCGCGCAAUGCGAAAUUUUCGUCGUGUGUAAUCGCAGACAAGCAACAGUAGCUAAAUGCAGUAGCUACGUAAGAUGAUGAGUCUAUGAAACGUAAAAAGUCGCCUCUUUGUUGUUCAAUUGUGAAACGAUUAUACGCAGCGAAACGAUGUCGCCUUAAUUAGAAACAGUGGAAAUUUAAACAAAUCCCUCGUACCACGAAUAUUUGGACGGACAGUGAUGUUCCUCUUAGAUCUUUUCUUUCAAUUCUUACUCUUUGUACUCUGCUACAGUGAUGUUGAUAGCGUGAAAAUUGCUUUCCGAAUAGGAUAUGGAAAAAAAAAACGUUGUGUAUCUAAAAUUAGAAAAUGAAAAGAGAACAGAAGGUUACUGAAUAAAUAAAUUCACAAAUACGUUUAGAAUCCUUUCCCUUUAGAAACGAAAUAUUGUAUUAUAAAUUACUUGAUUGGAUAAGCGAUAACUAGCGUUACCGAUCGAUUGUAAUUGAAGGAAUCUUGGGGUGCAAAGGGCGAGAUUUCCUCGAGACUGAUAUUUUAAUUAUUCAACGAUUAUAAAUCUAGCUUUCCACUUUCGAAGCACAAUUGAAGUGACUUCUGGAAAAAGGACUCAUGAAACGAAACGACGAGUUGGAUAAAUUGUAUUAGAAAUUUUAGUGUCUCAAUGUUAGCCACUUUCUUAUUUUCAUAUUUAUAAGAAAGAAUUCGAACAAUCUCAUAACGAUUCAAUCUGUAGCCUAAGAAACGUAUUUGUCAUAAAUCCAUAGACUCCCAUUCCAGAGACCUCUUUAACUAUUUUUGUUUGAUGCGUGCCAAUGUAUAAAAAGGUUCACCUUGUUUUAUCGCGGACUUUUACGUCUGGACCCAGUGCUCUUUUAUCUUUUAACAGCCUUUUGAACAAUUCACGAAAAACUCUAGGCUUGACUUCCGCGAAUUUUACUUGUCAGUCUCGUGGAACGCUCGUUCUCGCCGAUGGAAAGUGCGAGAACGCUUUCGAGCGAUUGGUUAGGAUAGAAGAAAAAAGAAACGAAAGAAAGGAAAGAAGUGAGUGAAGAAAGGGUAGGGAUUUAUCCAGCACCCUUUCUAAGCGAUAAGUGGUGAAAGAGGAACACCGUGGUUCCGUCCAAGUUUCGCAACGGCCCGAUUUGCAAUUUGAUUAAUUACAAGAGGAAGCGUGGGGAUGAAAGGAGUGUGAGAAGAUAGCGGAGAAAGAAACGAAGGGAAAGUUUGAGUGUACGUUUGAGUGUGUGCGCGCGUGUACCCGAGGGAAUGAAAGGGAAUGGAACGAGUGUGAGCGCGUGAAAUUUAAUGUUUCCUAUUAAAUGAGAAAAAAAUUUACAGAUAAUACAUAGACGAUUACUUAAACGAGAUUUGUAAAUACGUAGCUCACUGUAGCUGGUCAGUUGGGCAUUUAACGAUAUACACCUCGAGAUAAAGAAAGCAGGCGAUGAAAAAAAAAAAACGAAGUAGCAAACAAACGAAAAAGAAAAGAAGAAAAAUAAUGAAUAAGGAAGGAGGGAAAUUUGAAAACACAUUGAAGAGAGAAUAAUAAAAAGAAAAGAAACACAGAGAACGAUACAUGGAGAUACAUUACUCUCUUCGCGUUAUUACACACGUAACACGUAUAUAGUACAUACACACACAAAUACACAUACACGUAUGUAACAGAAACAAACAUUUUUUGGAAAAUUAAUGGAAUGGCAUGUUUUGUUGGUUCUCGAUCGCAAGGAGAACGACGGAACAUAAAUGAAUAAUAACUGGAGGCUAGGUGAUAAUUCAUAAGUCGUAAAAUACCUACGUUAUUAGAUAAUGACGAUAUUAGACAAUUAAGCGACAAGAAAAAAAAAAAAAUCCACGUAUACUUCACACUAGCAAAUAUGCCUUCGUUAUGGAAAGUGGCUGGCACGUGAUGCACCAAACAAUAAAGUUGCUACGGAUUAAAAAAGAAAGAAAAACUAGUAAAAAAGACGACUGCAAAACGGUGGGUCUCUUGUCUCCGAUUUGGCACGUCAUUAUUCUUUUUUUCUUUUUACCUAGUUUCCUUCCUCCAACAUUUUUUCAUUUUUCUCCGCCUCUUUCUAUUUUUUAUUUUCAGUUCUCUGUCUCUAGCACUGUCGGUUGGAACACGUCUCUUUCACAGGUUUUACACCCGCACCGUUCUUUCCUUCGACAAACCAUGGCACCGGAUUCAGAUCAGCUUUGCUUUCAGCUACUUUCGUUUCUGCUCGGAGAGACACAGCCAGUCGGUUAGUAACGAUACGAGGAUACAAAAACUGCCAAGACACCACCAGUCUACUACCUAAUUUCAUGACAGUCAGCCACAUGAAGUUCAAAUAAAUAAGCUAGAAGUUAGGGCUGUACUUGAAACACUUUUUAUAGUUCCUUGAACCUUCCCUUGAACCCUCCUCACAUCAACCGAACGCUUCACCACUUCUACUCAAGAUCACUAUGAAAACAGUAUUGGAUCCUCAAACUCGCUUCCAGUAAAUAAUCUCCAAUGAAGCCUGUGAAGUUUGAAUCAAGUAUGAAACCACAAAAGGGCGUUAUAAAAGGCACCUUUGUAAAUUAAAAAAAAAAAAAUAUACAUAUGUAUAAAAUA